rnacentral:rRNA from 1 species
UACGUAGGGGGCAAGCGUUGUCCGGAAUCAUUGGGCGUAAAGAGUGCGUAGGCGGUCCUGUAAGUUUGGUGUGAAAUCUCCCGGCUCAACUGGGAGGGUGCGCCGAAGACUGCAGGGCUUGAGUAUGGGAGAGGUAAGCGGAAUUCCUGGUGUAGCGGUGAAAUGCGUAGAUAUCAGGAGGAACACCUGUGGUGUAGACAGCUUACUGGACCAUAACUGACGCUGAGGCACGAAAGCGUGGGUAGCAAACAGG